rnacentral:tRNA from 1 species
GGGCCGGUAUAUCUUAGAGGAUUAGAGCACGUGGAAACGAACCACGAUGUCGGGGGUUCGAGUCCCUCCUCACCCA